UUUUUAAACUGGGCUGCAAACCCAUAUGAGAUUGCAUAAGAGUGUGGGGAUCAAAAGUUUGGCAACAGUAAGCAAUUUCUGAUCACUAAGUAACCAAAAACAAUUUAAAAACCAAAGGUAAUGAAUCUGAGUGCUUCUAGGAGCCCCUCCCCUUGUUGCUAUGUGCUGCUUCUCUGGGCUCUAAACACACAACGUGCUUGCAUUGUACCACACAGCUGUCACUCCAUGCAUCGCCAACAAAAACUGCCCGAGGCAUGUUGGCUCAGAUUGGAGAUCAUUUGUGUUAUGAAUUGCAGUGUUUUUACUGUACUUACAAAGUUUUCUGCUCUUACCGAAACUGGUUUAAUUGUGGCAAAGACUUUUCCUACUGUCGUCCCUCAUCAUGGAGGAUCAGCGUGAGGGACAGCGACUGGGAGAGACAUUCUCAGAAUUAAUGUUGGCAACACCUUCUAAUCAGGAAAACACCAUCUUCAUGAACCUGCCUUUGCUUCUCCCUGAUGGAGUGAGUCAGUUACUGCUACUGUGAUCCUCCGCUGACAUCUGACUCCAGCUUCAGGCUUUCAACGUGGCCUCAAUAGCAGCUACCGGGUUCUCAGCCUCUCCAGGGUCAAGUCCUUGUCUGAUAACUGUUGGGAUUAAAACAGAAAAUGAUUCUACUGUCACCAUAUAAGUCUCUUGAGUGUGGAGAAUCUGGUCUCAAGGUCUGGGCAAGAAUGCAGGAUAAUUAAAGCUUAAAGCACACAUCCUUCUGCAGACAUUCUGGGACAUGGCCUGGAGCUUGAAGGAGAGGCCACAAGCCGCUCGGCCUGACUCCUGCCUGCUUGGAGAACGCUGACACUACGCCCUUCCCUAUCCCCCCUCCCACGUUCGGAGUAAGAGCUGCCUGAUCUUGCCAUCAAGCUUUUGUGUAUCUAAAGUGACAUUUAGAUUCAUUCCAGCACUUCCUCAACUGCCUGGGAGACAUCCUUGGUCCAGUUGGGAAUCUGGGUCAGCUGUUCAGGCGCAUGCUAUGUGCUGAAUGAAGCUCACAGCCCAGGCAGCAGGCAGUGGUAACAUCUCGGGGGUGGGGGUGGGGCAGGAAUGAACAAGGGAAGGGAUUUGGACAUGAGCUUAGGCUUUUGAUACCUGUUUUAAAAUUUUGCACGUGUGAUCUUGUGGCAAUGGUGGUGUCAAGCGCAGAACCCAUGCCAAC